rnacentral:lncRNA from 10 species
CCAAGGCCAGGCUACUCAUCAGCCUAGAAUCCAGGCAGCCACUUUGCAGUUGGAUUUGGGCUUGCCCUUUGCUGUCCUCUGUGCUGUCUGGGGACAUUGCCCUCCGUCCUGUACUGCGUUGCUGACACAGGAUUUUUCAGAGCUGCGUAGCCAGCUGGAGACCUCCAUGGCUGGUGAUACCCCUGCCUGGGCCUCACUUGGCCCCGGGCUCACCACAGGAGCUACCUCACCCACUCGGCCCAGCGGGCUGUGCUUGGCUUGUGCUCCUGCUUGGAUCCUGUGCUCACCGCAGGAUCCACACUAAGCCUGCAGGUGGGCUUGGCUUGCCACAACCUGCUUCCACCUUGGGCACCAAUGUCUGGCUGAGAGGAAUGCAAUGGUGCAUGAAUGGGGAUGCGAGCAACCCUAAAGCCCCAGAGGGAGUGUUACAGCAGGCUAACAGCUCUUUUAGUCCCAUUGUCCCACUCCAAUCCAUGGCUCCAGGGCUGGCCUGGCUCCAGCACUGCUUCCUGUCACAUGGGGCGGUUGCCUUCCACCAGCAGAGGGCAGAGAACCACAGUGUUAUAGCCUUUGUUGUACUUGCAUUUGGCAGGUCCCAAGUUCUUGUCCCACAUCCAAGAAGAAUGAGGUUAUGCUGACAACCAAAGGAUGAGGAGAGUUUUAUUGAGUGACAGCUCUCAGCAAAGAGAGGACCUAAGAGGGCAGUCCCCUCUCCAAAGUUGGAUGGUCUCUUCCUGACUGAAGUGGUAUGGAACUGAAUCUGCAAUUUCUCCAAGAUAUGGCUGCAGUU